rnacentral:rRNA from 1 species
UACAGAGGGUGCAAGCGUUAAUCGGAAUUACUGGGCGUAAAGCGUGCGUAGUCGGUUAUUUAAGUCGGGUGUGAAAGCCCCGGGCUCAACCUGGGAAUGGCAUUGGAAACUGGCGGACUAGAGUGUGGCAGAGGGGGGUGGAAUUCCGCGUGUAGCAGUGAAAUGCGUAGAUAUCGAGAGGAACACCUGCGGCGAAGGCGGGUUGCUGGGCCGACACUGACGCUGAUGCGCGAAAGCCAGGGGAGCAAACGGG